GAGUCCAGGUCACCCAAGAAGACUUUAAGAUGGUAGUAGCCAAGGUCAUGCAGAAGGAUAGUGAGAAAAAUAUGUCUAUCAAGAACCGAUGGAAGUGAGGUGGAUGUCCUCUGUGUGGGUCCCUCAAAUAAA